rnacentral:rRNA from 1 species
GAUGAACGCUGGCGGCGUGCCUAAUACAUGCAAGUCGAGCGAACAGACGAGGAGCUUGCUCCUUUGACGUUAGCGGCGGACGGGUGAGUAACACGUAGGUAACCUACCUAUAAGACUGGGAUAACUUCGGGAAACCGGAGCUAAUACCGGAUAAUAUUUCGAACCGCAUGGUUCGAUAGUGAAAGAUGGCUUUGCUAUCACUUAUAGAUGGACUUGCGCCGUAUUAGCUAGUUGGUAAGGUAACGGCUUACCAAGGCAACGAUACGUAGCCGAACUGAGGGGUUGAUCGGCCACACUGGAACUGAGACACGGUCCAGACUCCUACGGGAGGCAGCAGUAGGGAAUCUUCCGCAAUGGGCGAAAGCCUGACGGAGCAACGCCGCGUGAGUGAUGAAGGUCUUCGGAUCGUAAAACUCUGUUAUUAGGGAAGAACAAACGUGUAAGUAACUGUGCAUGUCUUGACGGUACCUAAUCAGAAAGCCACGGCUAACUACGUGCCAGCCGCCGCCGUAAAAC